rnacentral:lncRNA from 1 species
CUGGGGUCUGUCUUUGCAGAGGUGCCAGGCCACAUGCCCUGCCCACCUCUACCAGCUAUGCCGCCUCUGAAGUUCCUCCAGCGGCACUGAGGAGGGGCCCUGUGGUCGAGGGUGCAGUUAAACGAGGCCCGACCGGGUAGUUGAGCUCAGCUUGGCUGUACUUGUCUUCCUUGGACCUGCUGGGCACCCCCAGAGAACUGCUCCGGUGAAAUGGGCCAUGGUCUCGGAGUCGUCUAUGCACCACCCCCCACGACCCAGCUGGUCAGAGCUGUGCCCCCGCCUCCCCGACCACACAGUCAGCCCAUCCACAGGCUCCGUCCAAGUCCUCCUGCCUAUCCAGCCCUGCACAAAGGAGCGGGGCAGGAGCAGGGUGUUCUUUGAUUCCACAGACCUCCAGCGACAUCUCCUCUGUGCCAGGACCUCAGCUGGCCACAGGGGAACCAAGUCAGCAUGCCCUAGCACUGCCUAUGGCUCUGCCAGCCUGGACACUGUCAUCCCACAUCCGGGUUUGCAUUCUGACUCGGCCACUCUCAAGGCCAUUUGGCCCCAGCAAAUGCCUGGACCUAGGCCCCAGGUGCAGAGAGAACAGGGCUACGGGAGGAGCAGAGGAAGUAAGGUGUUUCUCACUGCAAAGCCCUCAACAAAUCUUAGAUAAUAAGCAGGUGGCAAGGCUACAAAUGCUUGGGGCUCAGCGAGCAGUUCACUCUGGAAGGGGUGAAGAGCUUCACAAACCAUGAUGUGGAGAACAAGAGCCUGCAGCCCCUGGAGACCAGGACCUCGAGGUCUGC